CUUUUAGUGGAAGAAUCAUGGAAAUCCAUCCAUUAGAACCUUUUUUAUCCAGGUUUUUGUAAAUCAUGUCCAAGAAAAAAGACAGUUUGAGGUAACUUGGGUCAUAACUCCACUUCUGGUAGUCAGAUCGGGUUGAUUUUUGUUUUAAAAGAUUCUUUGAAGUGUUCUUAAGCUUUUAGUGGAAGAAUCAUGGAAAUCCAUCCAUUAGAACCGUUUUUAUCCAGGUUUUUGGAAAUCAUGUUCAAGGGAAAAGACGGUCUUGGGUAACUUGGGUCAUAACUCCACUUCUGGUGGUCAGAUCGGGUUGAUUUUUGUUUUAAAAGAUUCUUUGAAUUGUUGUUCAGCUUUCACUAAAAGAAUCAUGGAAAUCCAUCCAUUAGAACCUUUUUUAUCCAGGUUUUUGUAAAUCAUGUCCAAGAAAAAAGACAGUUUGAGGUAACUUGGGUCAUAACUCCACUUCUGGUAGUCAGAUCGGGUUGAUUUUUGUUUUAAAAGAUUCUUUGAAGUGUUCUUAAGCUUUUAGUGGAAGAAUCAUGGAAAUCCAUCCAUUAGAACCUUUUUUAUCCAGGUUUUUGGAAAUCAUGUUCAAGGGAAAAGACGGUCUUGGGUAACUUGGGUCAUAACUCCACUUCUGGUGGUCAGAUCGGGUUGAUUUUUGUUUAAAAAGAUUCUUUGAAGUGUUCUUAAGCUUUUAGUGGACGAAUCAUGGAAAUCCAUCCAUUAGAACCUUUUUUAUCCAGGUUUUUGGAAAUCAUGUUCAAGGGAAAAGACAGUCUCAGGUAACUUGGGUCAUAACUCCACUUCUGGUAGUCAGAUCGGGUUGAUUUUUGUUUUAAAAGAUUCUUUGAAGUGUUCUUAAGCUUUUAGUGGAAGAAUCAUGGAAAUCCAUCCAUUAGAACCUUUUUUAUCCAGGUUUUUGGAAAUCAUGUUCAAGGGAAAAGACGGUCUUGGGUAACUUGGGUCAUAACUCCACUUCUGGUGGUCAGAUCGGGUUGAUUUUUGUUUUAAAAGAUUCUUUGAAUUGUUGUUCAGCUUUCACUAAAAGAAUCAUGGAAAUCCAUCCAUUAGAACCGUUUUUAUCCAGGGUUUUGGAAAUCAUGUCCAAGAAAAAAGACAGUCUUAGGUAAGUUGGGUCAUAACUCCACUUCUGGUGGUCAGAUCGGGUUGAUUUUUGUUUAAAAAGAUUCUU